rnacentral:rRNA from 1 species
AUUGAACGCUGGCGGCAGGCUUAACACAUGCAAGUCGAGCGGAGUGAUGGUGCUUGCACUAUCACUUAGCGGCGGACGGGUGAGUAAUGCUUAGGAAUCUGCCUAUUAGUGGGGGACAACAUCUCGAAAGGGAUGCUAAUACCGCAUACGUCCUACGGGAGAAAGCAGGGGAUCACUUGUGACCUUGCGCUAAUAGAUGAGACUAAGUCGGAGUAGCUAGUUGGUGGGGUAAAGGCCUACCAAGGCGACGAUCUGUAGCGGGUCUGAGAGGAUGAUCCGCCACACUGGGACUGAGACACGGCCCAGACUCCUACGGGAGGCAGCAGUGGGGAAUAUUGGACAAUGGGGGGAACCCUGAUCCAGCCAUGCCGCGUGUGUGAAGAAGGCCUUAUGGUUGUAAAGCACUUUAAGCGAGGAGGAGGCUCUUUUGGUUAAUACCCAAGAUGAGUGGACGUUACUCGCAGAAUAAGCACCGGCUAACUCUGUGCCAGCCGCCGCCGUAA